UUUCCGUAGGUGAACCUGCGGAAGGAUCAUUACUGAGUGAGGGCCCUGGGUCCAACCUCCCACCCGUGUUUAUUGUACCUUGUUGAUUCGGUGAGCCCGCCUCCCGGCCGCCGCGGGGCAUCUGCCCCCGGGCCCGCGCUCGCCGAAGACACCCUAGAACUCGGUCUGAAGUUUCCCGUCUGAGCGAAAACUAAAUAAGUUAAAACUUUCAACAACGGAUCUCUUGGUUCCG
rnacentral:misc_RNA from 1 species